UUCGGUAUCCUGUGUUGCUUACCUAUCGAAAGGAAUCCGACGGUUCGGUUGGUCCCUUUCCGCCCCAUGCCCUCGCGGGUUAUGGGGUGGACGUCAGGCAAGCCUCGUGUUCCCGGCACGCUUCGCCCAGUUGCGUGGCUGCCUCGGCCCACGGGGCGCAUUGCCCGUGCUCUCGGAUGCGGAACGUUACGCGCGGGCGUGGGGUCUUUUGGCUCCGUCGGCCCGAGCAACGCAUUUGUCAAUCGACACGAACGACUGUCGUGCCCGUCUUGAGCCCGCGGCCGUACGGCCCGUCGGGUCUCAUGCGGGCGUCGGCGUCGCGAAGGAAUGCUACCUGGUUGAUCCUGCCAGUAGUCAUAUGCUUGUCUC
rnacentral:misc_RNA from 1 species